UACGUAGGGUGCAAGCGUUAAUCGGAAUUACUGGGCGUAAAGCGUGCGCAGGCGGUUGUGCAAGACAGAUGUGAAAUCCCCGGGCUUAACCUGGGAACUGCAUUUGUGACUGCACGGCUAGAGUGCGGCAGAGGGGGAUGGAAUUCCGUGUGUAGCAGUGAAAUGCGUAGAUAUGCGGAGGAACACCGAUGGCGAAGGCAAUCCCCUGGGCCUGCACUGACGCUCAUGCACGAAAGCGUGGGGAGCAAACAGG
rnacentral:rRNA from 1 species